AGAUCUGCAUGACAAUCCCGUACACUCAACAACAAAAAAACUGGCUUCAGAUCUCAGAGCCAAUAAAAAUCAGGAAAGUUAGUAGAUUCUUCCUGACUCUGGAAUCUUCAUACCCUGAACUCUUAAAGAAACUUUAAUCAGUUACCUACAGUCUACCACCCAUUUAAGAAGAGCAAAGCUACCUCAGCUCCUCCAGAGCCAUUUUAAGAUCCCCCAUCUUCAAAGCCUAACAGAUUAAGCAGCUCUCCAGUGCACAACCUGCGCCCAAGUAAAUGCCAAACAAAGUCCUAAACCCAGCCCAGGCCACUGUCUCUGAAAAAACUCGCCAAGAAAAAAGUAAGAAAUUUACUUUACAGAAGUAAAACCACACCAGGCUUAGUACAAAUACCUUCUAGUACUAGUAGACACCUUCUCCAGAUAAACUAAGGCAUUUGCUACCAAAAAUGAAACCACCAACACAGUAGUUAAGUUUUUACUCAAUGAAAUCAUCCCUCAAUAUAGGCUGUCUGCUGCCAUAAAGUCUGAUAAUAGACUAGCCUUCCCCUCACCUAUAGCUCAGUCAGUCAGUAAGGUGUUAAGCAUUCAACAGAAGCUCCAUUGUGCCUAUCAACCCCAGAGCUCCAGGCAAGUAGAAAGCAUGAACCACACCCUAAAAAACACUCCUACAAAAUUAAUCUUAAAAAAACAGUGUAAAUUAAGUAAGUCUCCUUCCUUUAGCCAUACUUAAAGUAAGGUGCACCCCUUACCCGGAGAAUUUCUCACCUUUUGAAAUCAUGUAUAAGAAGGCGCCGCCUAUCUUGCCUAAGCUAAGAGAUGCCAAAUUAGCAGAAAUAUCACAAACUAAUUUGUUACAGUACCUAUAGUCUCUCCAACAGGUACAAGAUAUCAUCCUGCCACUUGUUCGAGGAGCCCAUCCCAAUCCAAUUCCUGACCAAAGUCCUGCCAUUCUUUCCAGCCAGGAGACCUAGCGUUUGUUAAAAAGUUCCAAAAAGAAAGACUCGCUCCUGCUUAGAAAAGACCUCACACCGUCAUCCUCAGGACACCAGUGGCUCUGAAAAUAGAUGGCAUUCCUAGUUAGAUUCAUCACUCCUGCAUCAAAAAGGCCAACAGAUCCCAGCUAAAAACAUCCUUCUUAGAAAUUCCUAAGGCUCAAUGCUGUGUGGAAGAUUCUGAGAAAGAAAAUAGUUUCCGAUCUUUGGGAUUCCCGAGAUGGUCCAAUCUGCAAAAAGUUCAUUGCCAUUUCCAUCAAGGACACUGAGAACAAGAGUCUUAUCUGGAUUGGAUCCUGGGAAUUGAGAAGCUUCAGCAGGGCUUCCGCUGGGACUAGGAUCAGGGUGUGGACACCCCCAACCUGGACCGUCUGGCCGGGGAGGGCAUCAAGGCCAAUUACCCAUGCAGCCCCCUGUCACAAUGACCUCCCCAUCCCACUUCACUACCAUCCCAGGUAAGCGUCACUCUGCCCAUUUCAUCCGAUGCCCAUCAAAGCCCCAGCGUCCGUCAUUCCCUGUGAUAAGAAGCAAAAGCUCGGUCAGCUCUAGGGAGGCUGAGGCGGCUCCGGGGCCUCACUCUGUUGCCCAGGCUGUAGCUCAGUGGCAUAAUCACAGGUCAGUGGAGCCUCAAACUCCUGGUCUCAAGCAGUCCUCCCUAGCUCAGGAUCCCCAGUAGCUAGGGAUACAGACAAGCUACCAUGCCUAAUUUUCUCAUUUUCUUAGAAAUUGGGGAAGGGGGUGUCUCACUAUGUUGCCUGGGCUGGUUUUGAACUCCUGGCCUCAAGUG